GGACUACCCGGGUUUCUAAUCCCGUUCGCUGCCCUAGCUUUCGCACCCGAGCGUCAGGACCUUGCCAGGAGACUGCCUUCGCCUUUGGUGUUCCUCCGGAUCUCUACGCAUUUCACCGCUCCACCCGGAAUUCCGUCUCCCCCUCAAGUCCUCAAGUGCAGCCCGUUUUCGUGCGUCCUUUCCCAGUUAAGCCGGGAACUGUCACGCCGAACGCGGCCGACCGCCUGCGUGCCCUUUACGCCCAGUAACUCCGGACAACGCUUGCCCCCUACGUCUUACCGCGGCUGCUGGCAC
rnacentral:rRNA from 1 species